CCAACGGCUUUUUUAAAAGCCAUAAAUUUAUAAAGAAAAUUUAUC
rfam:Trichoplax adhaerens TRIADscaffold_7 genomic scaffold, whole genome shotgun sequence.